rnacentral:rRNA from 1 species
CAGUAGCCGCGGUAAUACAGAGGGUGCGAGCGUUAAUCGGAUUUACUGGGCGUAAAGCGUGCGUAGGCGGCUUCUUAAGUCGGAUGUGAAAUCCCUGAGCUUAACUUAGGAAUUGCACUCGAUACUGGGAAGCUAGAGUAUGGGAGAGGAUGGUAGAAUUCCAGGUGUAGCGGUGAAAUGCGUAGAGAUCUGGAGGAAUACCGAUGGCGAAGGCAGCCAUCUGGCCUAAUACUGACGCUGAGGUACGAAAGCAUGGGGAGCAAACAGGAUUAGAUACCCCGGUAGUCCCUGUCUCUUAUAC